rnacentral:rRNA from 1 species
GGAAGUAAAAGUCGUAACAAGGUUUCCGUAGGUGAACCUGCGGAAGGAUCAUUAUCGAGUUUUGAACCGGGGUUGUAGCUGGCCUUCCGAGGCAUGUGCACGCCCUGCUCAAUCCACUCUACACCUGUGCACUUAUUGUGGGUUUCGGGGGCUUCGGCCCCCCAAGCCUAUGUUUAUUUACAAACGCUUCAGUAAAAGAAUGUGUAUUGCGACAACGCAUCUAUAUACAACUUUCAGCAACGGAUCUCUUGGCUCUCGCAUCGAUGAAGAACGCAGCGAAAUGCGAUAAGUAAUGUGAAUUGCAGAAUUCAGUGAAUCAUCGAAUCUUUGAACGCACCUUGCGCUCCUUGGUAUUCCGAGGAGCACGCCUGUUUGAGUGUCAUGAAAUCAUCAACUUUUAGGCCUUUUAUGGGCUCUAUAAGCUUGGACUUGGAGGCUUGUCGGCGGUCAACGUUGGCUCCUCUUAAAUGUAUUAGCUUGGUUCCUUGCGGAUUGGCUCUCGGUGUGAUAAUGUCUAUGCCGCGACCGUGAAGCGUUUGGCAAGCUUCGAACCGUCUCGUGAGAGACAUCUUCAUUGACUCUGACCUCAAAUCAGGCGGGACUACCCGCUGAACUUAAGCA